rnacentral:rRNA from 1 species
GCUUACGUCCAUACCACCCUGUCUGUGCCAGAUCUUGUCUGAUCUCGGAAGCUAAGCAGGGUUGGUCCUGGAUAGCACUUGGAAGAGAGACCGCCUGGUUAUACCAGGUGCUGUAAGCU